GAUCUACGUGCUGGUUGGGACAAACAGACCGUGUGCGUCCGUGUGUCUCGCCUAUGGCAUUACCGUGGUGGUUUAGAGAAUGGACCUGUCAAGCUUCUGCACAUGAUCCUCAUCGACGCUCAUGGUAACCAUGGCUAUGCAGUUGUUCCGACAGAUUUUCUUGUCACUUAUAUUGAUAUGCUGCAUGAAGGCGUGGUGUAUGAGUUCAGUCGUUUCAGCGUGAUGUCUUCAUCAUGAACCCCGUCGAUGCGUCGUUGAUGAUCCAAUUUACACAAUUUACAAUUGUGAAGAAUUUUUUCGAUCUGAACGACGUAUUUCCGGAGUGGGCAUUCAACCUGACCCCACUAAAUGAAUUACCCCUUGCAAAUGAUACUCCCCAAGCCUACAUAGAUGUUAUCUGGGUUAUCACGGCGAUUUCUCCUGUGAAAGCCACUCGGGUGCCCAAUACUCUUAGACAAGUAUUCAGGCGCCGUCUGAUCCUCUCUGACAAUAAUGGCCACGAACUUGGAAUAACCCUUUGGGGUGAGAGUGCUAUUCGAUUUAAUGGAGAGAGUGUGCAUUUCAUGGGUCAAACAGACCCGGCUAUCGUUAUUUUUGUCGGCACCACCGUUUGUAUGUAUGAAGGGUCCAAGGAAUUAUCUGGUGGAUGUGCUUGCAAAUGAUAUGUUAACCAUGAUAUACCAGAGAUAAACAUAUUUAGGAGCAGGCUCCCAGUCAUCUUCCCUGCCAUUGAGCAUCUUCCUGCACCGUCGAAGAUUAUUCUCCAGGUCCAACAUGCCGAUGUGCAUCCAAUGGUGUUAUUGACCCACCUCAUAAACAUCAACUUAUAUCAAAAGGAGGGUUUCACAUUUGAAAAAAUGGUGGGCUACCUUCUGUGCAGACUGCCAUCACAUGUCCAUGCCAGCUACAACAUCGCUUACCCAGCCAGAUGUUUAUAUGUGCUCUCGUCGAUCUUGUUCAUGCACUAGCGCUACAAUUGGAUGAGAACAAUUCAAUGUUAUAUCAAUCAAUGGUCAUUUGCUCUCCCUGCUCAUUUCAUCUAUGUUAAUGUUCAGGUACACAUUGUUUGUCCAUCUAUGUUAAUGUCCAUCUACAUUUGUUUCCUUCGGUGGAUCUCCAGCUCAGUUUCCCCUUUCCAGUCAGCGCCGCCUCUAGGGUUUCACCUUCUCACCCUCCUGAUGUCUUGUCUGGCUCUGUCCGAUCUACGUGCUGGUUGGGACAAACAGACCGUGUGCGUCCGUGUGUCUCGCCUAUGGCAUUACCGUGGUGGUUUAGAGAAUGGACCUGUCAAGCUUCUGCACAUGAUCCUCAUCGACGCUCAUGGUAACCAUGGCUAUGCAGUUGUUCCGACAGAUUUUCUUGUCACUUAUAUUGAUAUGCUGCAUGAAGGCGUGGUGUAUGAGUUCAGUUGUUUCAGCGUGAUGUCUUCAUCAUGAACCCGGUCGAUGCGUCGUUGAUGAUCCAAUUUACACAAUUUACAAUUGUGAAGAAUUUUUUCGAUCUGAACGACGUAUUUCCGGAGUGGGCAUUCAACCUGACCCCACUAAAUGAAUUACCCCUUGCAAAUGAUACUCCCCAAGCCUACAUAGUUUGCGCAUUUACUUGUGUAGAUGUUAUCUGGGUUAUCACGGCGAUUUCUCCUGUGAAAGCCACUCGGGUGCCCAAUACUCUUAGACAAGUAUUCAGGCGCCGUCUGAUCCUCUCUGACAAUAAGUAUGUAAUCUGAUCUGUUAUAUUUGACCGUCGUUCUCUUUUUCCUGUUGUCCAUUUUAUUAAAAAAGCUUAUAUUGAAUCCUCUUCUGCCAUUUUAUUCUCAUCUUACAUUAGUGGCCACGAACUUGGAAUAACCCUUUGGGGUGAGAGUGCUAUUCGAUUUAAUGGAGAGAGUGUGCAUUUCAUGGGUCAAAUAGACCCGGCUAUCGUUAUCUUUGUCGGCACCACCGUUUGUAUGUAUGAAGGUGACUAGGAAACAACCCGAUGAAUGUGCUUGCUUGUUUCCCGCUGCCUUCGAUUUAUUUAAUGGUAUUAUUAUUUGUCAUGAGCUAGGGUCCAAGGAAUUAUCUGGUGGAUGUGCUUGCAAAUGAUAUGUUAACCAUGAUAUACCAGAGAUAAACAUAUUUAGGAGCAGGUGAGGGCCACGGUCUAUUCAUACGGCGUUUGUUUUCUCUAUUUUGUACUCAAGUAUUGUAUUCUCUCUGCUUCUU